rnacentral:rRNA from 1 species
AUACGAGUGGCGCAAGCGUUGUUCGGAUUCACUGGGCAUAAAGCGCGCGUAGGCGGUGCUGUAAGUCGGUUGUGAAAGCCCCCGGCUCAACCGGGGAAUCGCAGUCGAAACUGCAGUGCUAGAGUCUGGAAGGGGGGAGUGGAAUUCCUGGUGGAGCGGUGAAAUGCGUAGAUAUCAGGAGGAACGCCGGUGGCGAAGGCGACUCUCUGGUCCAGUACUGACGCUCAGAGCGCGAAAGCUAGGGGAGCAAACAGGAUUAGAUACCCUGGUAGUCCUAGCCGUAAACGAUGGGCACUUGGUAGCGGCAGUUACCGACACUGUCGCUGCUGGAGCUAAUGUAUUAAGUGCCCCGCCUGGGGAGUAUGCUCGCAAGGGUGAA